rnacentral:rRNA from 1 species
GCUUACGGCCAUACCACACUGAGCGCGCCCGAUCUCGUCUGAUAUCGGAAGCUAAGCAGGGUCGGGCCUGGUUAGCACUUGGAUGGGAGACCGCCUGGGAAUACAAGGUGCUGUAAGCU